rnacentral:rRNA from 1 species
GACGAACGCUGGCGGCGUGCUUAACACAUGCAAGUCGAACGGUAAGGCCCUUCGGGGUACACGAGUGGCGAACGGGUGAGUAACACGUGGGUGAUCUGCCCUGCACUUCGGGAUAAGCCUGGGAAACUGGGUCUAAUACCGGAUAGGACCCUGGGAUGCAUGUCCUGGGGUGGAAAGCUUUUGCGGUGUGGGAUGGGCCCGCGGCCUAUCAGCUUGUUGGUGGGGUGAUGGCCUACCAAGGCGACGACGGGUAGCCGGCCUGAGAGGGUGACCGGGCACACUGGGACUGAGAUACGGCGCAGACUCCUACGGGAGGCAGCAGUGGGGAAGAUUGCACAAUGGGCGCAAGCCUGAUGCAGCGACGCCGCGUGAGGGAUGACGGCCUUCGGGUUGUAAACCUCUUUCAGCACCGACGAAGCGCAAGUGACGGUAGUAGCAGAAGAAGGACCGGCCAACUACGUGCCAGCAGCCGCGGUAA